UGCAAGUCGAGCGAGCUGAACUAUUGGAAGCCUUCGGGUGGAAAAUGAUGAUGCUAGCGGCGGACGGGUGAGUAACGCGUGGGCAACCUACCCUGUACAGAGGGAUAACAAUGGGAAACCAUUGCUAAUACCCCAUAACACCUUUUAGGGGCAUCCCUUAAAGGUCAAAGAAUUUCGGUACAGGAUGGGCCCGCGUCUGAUUAGCUAGUUGGUGGGGUAAUGGCUCACCAAGGCAACGAUCAGUAGCCGGCCUGAGAGGGUGAACGGCCACACUGGAACUGAGACACGGUCCAGACUCCUACGGGAGGCAGCAGUGGGGAAUAUUGCACAAUGGGCGAAAGCCUGAUGCAGCAACGCCGCGUGAGCGAUGAAGGCUUUCGAGUCGUAAAGCUCUGUCCUAAGGGAAGAUAAUGACGGUACCUUAGGAGGAAGCCCCGGCUAACUACGUGCCAGCAGCCGCGGUAAUACGUAGGGGGCAAGCGUUAUCCGGAAUCAUUGGGCGUAAAGGGUGCGUAGGCGGCCCUAUGGGUCAGAGGUUAAAGGCUACGGCUCAACCGUAGUAAGCCUUUGAAACUGUAGGGCUUGAGUGCAGGAGAGGAGAGUGGAAUUCCUAGUGUAGCGGCGAAAUGCGUAGAUAUUAGGAGGAACACCAGUGGCGAAGGCGACUCUCUGGACUGUAACUGACGCUGAGGCACGAAAGCGUGGGUAGCGAACAGGAUUAGAUACCCUGGUAGUCCACGCCGUAAACGAUGAGUGCUAGGUGUUGGGGGUCAAACCUCG
rnacentral:rRNA from 1 species